UUAGAGUUUGAUCCUGGCUCAGGAUGAACGCUAGCGGGAGGCUUAACACAUGCAAGUCGAGGGGUAACGAUGUAGCUUGCUACAGGCGACGACCGGCGCACGGGUGCGUAACGCGUAUGCAACUUUCCUUAUACAGGAGGAUAGCCCAGGGAAACUUGGAUUAAUACUCCAUAAUGUCACCAGGUCGCAUGGCCAGGUGAUUAAAACUCCGGUGGUAUAAGAUGGGCAUGCGUAGGAUUAGCUAGUAGGUAGUGUAACGGACUACCCAGGCAACGAUCCUUAGGGGUUCUGAGAGGAUUAUCCCCCACACUGGUACUGAGACACGGACCAGACUCCUACGGGAGGCAGCAGUGAGGAAUAUUGGUCAAUGGGCGCGAGCCUGAACCAGCCAUCCCGCGUGCAGGAUGACGGCCCUAUGGGUUGUAAACUGCUUUUCUACGCCAAGAAAGGCCCGUACGCGUACGGGAUUGACGGUAGCGUAGGAAUAAGCAUCGGCUAACUCCGUGCCAGCAGCCGCGGUAAUACGGAGGAUGCAAGCGUUAUCCGGAUUCAUUGGGUUUAAAGGGUGCGCAGGCGGGCUUGUAAGUCAGUGGUGAAAUACUGCCGCUUAACGGUAGAAUUGCCAUUGAUACUGCGAGUCUUGAGUAUGGUUGAGUAGGCGGAAUGUGCAGUGUAGCGGUGAAAUGCAUAGAGAUUGCACAGAACGCCGAUUGCGAGGCAGCUUACUAAGCCAUACUGACGCUGAGCACGAAAGCGUGGG
rnacentral:rRNA from 1 species